GACGAACGCUGGCGGCGUGCUUAACACAUGCAAGUCGAACGGAAAGGCCCUGCUUGCAGGGUGCUCGAGUGGCGAACGGGUGAGUAACACGUGGGUGAUCUGCCCCUUACUUUGGGAUAAGCCUGGGAAACUGGGUCUAAUACUGGAUAGGACCAUGCUGUAGGUGGUGUGGUGGAAAGAUUAGUUUCGGUAAGGGAUGAGCUCGCGGCCUAUCAGCUUGUUGGUGGGGUAAUGGCCUACCAAGGCGUCGACGGGUAGCCGGCCGGAGAGGGUGGACGGCCACAUUGAGACUGAGAUGCGGCGCAGACUCCUACGGGAGGCAGCAGUGGGGGAUAUUGCACAAUGGGCGCAAGCCUGAUGCAGCGACGCCGCGUGGGGGAUGACGGCCUUCGGGUUGUAAACUCCUUUCAGCCAUGACGAAGCCCUUGUGGUGACGGUAGUGGUAGAAGAAGCACCGGCUAACUACGUG
rnacentral:rRNA from 1 species